UCCAACCUCCCACAUGAAAUUAUCCUUUUAAAGCGGGCUCAAUAUGUCUCAAUCUGCACUGCACUUCACUCUAAGCUUUUGGGUAUAGUCUAUGGGACAGAGCCCAAAAUAUAUAUUAACUAAAGCGAGAUGUUGUGUCGAACUUAAAUAUUUCAGACUUUAUGACUGUGAAGAGAGGCUGCUCAGAGAAGCUGAAACAGCAACGACUAUGAUGCUCUACGAAAAAAAGAGCGAUCGAUGCCAAGGCUCUCCCAUUUUCACUUCGAACCGGAGCUGAACUCCGGAGUGCCGCGAACUGCUACGCCCGAUCCCAGCGCCGGGGUCAGCGGAAGUGGCGUCUCCUUUUCGAUAUGCAGAUGAGCCGGGUCCCUCCGAUGUCUCCCGGCGUCCGGGCCUCGAUAGCUAACAGCCUUUUACUGCCUUCGCCCACUCCUCCAGUAAUAAGUAGAGUGUGUGGAAGCUAAUGGAUGUUGUCAGUGGUGUGUUCUGAGCGCUGAUUUAGAGGGAACCCACCAGCCAGGCUUCUCUCAGAGUUAGCCUGACCACUGGACUACCUGGGUGAGGAGUGGGAAAGAGGAGGACAGUUAGCUUACUCACGCUUCAAAUCACAUUUAUAUCCUUAAAAGAUGUGGGGAUAGAUUAAAUGUCAUGGUGCUGUGUGGAAAGUGAAUUCUGUCCUAUAAACAGGACUCGCCUUUUUCCUCCCUCUACCAGUUUCGGUUGUGUAAAAGUUCAUUGAAAUUAAUUGAAAGCUUUUUCAUGAGCCACUGAAUUCAGUGCUCAGGUCACAGGGGCUCGAAAAUAUACUGGUGGAAACUGAAAACCUCUCCCAGAUUCAUUAGUUUAUUUGUAUUUUACAUUACUAUUCCGGUUUCAUUGUGAAAAUGCAAAAAGUAGGCAAAUUAAAAUGUUGCGCAGUGGCUCAGAUUUGUAUACUUCUUGAGAUGUGCUGUUUUCAUAAUGCUGGACAUACAUUAAUAUAUGCUUAUUAUAUUAAUAUAUACCCCUCCAAGCCACUC